rnacentral:rRNA from 1 species
CUACCUACGGGAGGCAGCAGUAGGGAAUCUUCCACAAUGAGCGAAAGCCUGAUGGAGCAACACCGCGUGGGUGAAGAAAGUCUUCGGAUCGUAAAACCCUGUUGUUAGAGAAGAAAGUGCGUGAGAGUAACUGUUCACGUUUCGACGGUAUCUAACCAGAAAGCCACGGCUAACUACGUGCCAGCAGCAGCGGUAAUACGUAGGUGGCAAGCGUUAUCCGGAUUUAUUGUGCGUAAAGGGAACGCAGUCGG